GGAGAAUGUAGAUGAGAAAAACAGGGAAUUCCAAGGCACUCUCAAUUCUCAAAGGUUAAAAAGCCUUUAUUUUAUUGGCCUUUUUAGCCUAGAUUUGG